rnacentral:rRNA from 1 species
CAGCAGCCGCGGUAAAACGUAGGGUGCAAGCGUUAAUCGGAAUUACUGGGCGUAAAGCGUGCGCAGGCGGUUAUAUAAGUCAGAUGUGAAAUCCCCGGGCUCAACCUGGGAACUGCAUUUGAGACUGUAUGGCUAGAGUGUGUCAGAGGGGGGUAGAACUCCACGUGUAGCAGUGAAAUGCGUAGAUAUGUGGAGGAAUACCGAUGGCGAAGGCAGCCCCCUGGGAUAACACUGACGCUCAUGCACGAAAGCGUGGGGAGCAAACAGGAUUAGAUACCCCGGUAGUCCCUGUCUCUUAUAC